ensembl:snRNA U6 U6 spliceosomal RNA
GUGCUCGCUUCAGCAGCGCAUAUACUAAAAUUGGAAAGACACAGAGAAGAUUAGCAUGGCCCCUGCACAAGGAUGACACGCAAAUUCGUGAAGCGUUCCAUCUUCUU